UUUUUUAUUAACAACAGAGUGUUAAAUGCAAUUCCAUUCAAAUGUCAGCAGUACAGAUUGUUUUAACGUGAAACAGCAUCACACAAAUUACGCCGUGUUGCCGUGUAAACUGCAUUCAUUUCAAAAUGUAAAAAAUUCUAAGGAGACGUUGAAAACACCGCAUUAAUGAACGACCCUGACCGAGACAGAUGUGCGUCCGCAGCCAGGAGUCAAGAGAGCAAAACGGUCUCUGGGUGGGAGGGGCAUACUCUCUCUCCCCCUGUCAAUCACAGUCAUGCUAGCCAAUUGUGGAUGUCUGUGAGCUCGUGUCUGUGGAAGAGGGUCGAUAGUUCUUUCCUAGCUGAAGUACGACAGAAGAGAGCUGACUCGUGGGUGGGAACAGGCAAGUCAAUUCAAAAUGUCCCAUUUUAGUUUGGGCCAAGAAAAACGAAUGAAAAUAAAAAGCUGUUUGAAUGAAUGCAACGUACACGAGCCUCACGCCACCCUGAUGUCUAAUAUCAUCUCUAAACCUGAAAAUCGUACAGAUAAAUCCACUGAUAUCUUUUAGUCAGGUUUUCGAAUGAACACACAUUUUCACAGCAAAAGAAGCCACAACUAAAAGCAGAAGUAGUACACAAACAUGAAUGUCCUGUAAUAAACAGUGGCAUUAGUGUUCCUGUGUGUAAUACUGUGAUGUGUAAACACAACUCAUACUGAACCUACAUCACGAACAUAAAGUGUAAACGCAACUCGUUUUAACAGAUAAAUACCAUUCUGAUGCAAUAACGACGACACGUUCGGCUCCGCUGGUCUACUUUCACCUCACAGCUGAGCUUUUCUGUACAAGCAGCAGAUCUAGCAGCGUCCCGCCACACAGCGAGCGGUUCUGAACCUCCGCACUUCUGAACCUCCGCACUUAACAACGACAGAAGACAAACCACGACACUCUGAGGAGAUCUGCGACAUCUCCGACUCGUGACGUCACGUUCACGCCAAGCAACUCAAACCCUGCGUCACAUGAAGCACGGUGAAGUGUGAUCACAUUCCCACGGAACAUUCGUCUCCAUUACUAAACGACGUCAUAACACCAUGCACACGUAUCACAAUUUAAAUAAACAGUAUUUUAAUGAUCAAAAACAGUCUUGAUAAAUAAGCACGUGCGUAAAGACCGACAGUUUAACUCUGAUAUGGCUUUUAUUUAGCGACGGAGUAAAAUUACAUUUCUCAGAAUUGUUUUUAGAGCAAAAUCUAGAAAAAAAUCCGGUCCUGAUUCUGUGCUACAAAAAAG
ensembl:lncRNA